GGGAGAGAAAAGCAAAGAUAGCACUCAAAACCCACCUCUUCAUAAUUAUUUUACGGCAUAAUUGUUUAGUUGAUUAUCUACACUUAUGAAAGUGAUGAACAGAGUGUUAAUGUGAUUUAAAAAUGUGGCCAUUGCAUCACGAAUGGCACCAACACAUGAGUAAACAUUCCUCUAAUGUUUGAAAACUAUUAUCCAGUUUAGCCAAGUGACUUUUUGGGGGGAUGAUGGGGCACUGGGGAUUGAACCCAUGGGGAAGCUUUACCACUGAGCUACCUCCACAACACUUUUUAUUUUGUGACAGGGUCUUGCUGAGUUGCUGGGACGGGUCCUGACCUUGUGAUUCUCUUGUCUCAGUCUCCUGAGUUGCUGGCAUCACGGGGAUGUGUGCACCACCAUGCCUGGGUAGCCAGGUGAUGUUUGAUGUACAAAGGAGUUGUCUGGUGUUUGUGUUACUCCUUAAUGAAAAUGAAAACAUCAACAUUCAUGUCAAAGUUAUAUUUAUUUUUUUAAAAAAAUUUUAAUUGUAGAUGGACACAAUACCUUUCUUUUAUUUGUUUAUUUUUAUGUGGUACAGGGGAUCAAACCCAGUGCCUUAGGCAUGCUAGGCAAGCGCUCUACCACUGAGCCACAACCCCAUCCCCAAAGUUAUAUUUGUUGCUCAGUUGUAACCAUAGAUUGUCUGCAGAUGCAAGAGCUUGGUAAAAAUGAGCAAAAGUAUGCUUUGAGAAUCAAUUGACUCUAUGGGAUAUGUAGGAUAUAGUAUCUUUUAUUAUUCUUUGUAGAUUUUAGACCAGUGGCAUUUAUAAUAAACAUGUACUCACUCACACA
rnacentral:lncRNA from 1 species